UGACAGCUCAGUCGGUAGAGCAUGAGUCUCUUUAAUCUCAUGGUGAUGGGUUUGAGUCCCACACAGGGGGAAAG